UUGUGGUUAAAAAGCUCGUAGUUGGAUCUCGGCGGUCUGAGGGCGGUUCGCUUGAUUGAGUGCUACUGCUCUAUAGGCCGUGGUUUUGCCAGAGGUCUCGGGGUGCUCUUAACCGAGUGUCCUGCGAUGCUGGCAGGUUACUUUGAAAAAAUUAGAGUGCUCAAAGCAGGCUUUUACGCCUGAAUAUUCGUGCAUGGAAUAAUAGAAUAGGAAGUCGUUUCUAUUUUGUUGGUUUUCGGAAAUCGACUUAGUGACUAAUUGGGACAGUCGGGGGCAUUUGUAUUCUAAACGACAGAGGUGAAAUUCUUGGACCGUUUGAAGACAAACUACUGCGAAAUGCAUUUGCCAAGAAUGUUUUCAUUAAUCAUUGAACGAAAGUUAUAGGUUCGAAGGCGAUUAGAUACCGCCCUAUUUCUAA
rnacentral:rRNA from 1 species